rnacentral:rRNA from 1 species
CAGCAGCCGCGGGAAUACAGAGGAUGCAAGCGUUAUCCGGAAUGAUUGGGCGUAAAGGGCUCGCAGGCGGUUUCUUAAGUCCGAUGUGAAAGCCCCCGGCCCAACCGGGGAGGGUCAUUGGAAACUGGGAAACUUGAGUGCAGAAGAGGAGAGUGGAAUUCCACGUGUAGCGGUGAAAUGCGUAGAGAUGUGGAGGAACACCAGUGGCGAAGGCGACUCUCUGGUCUGUAACUGACGCUGAGGAGCGAAAGCGUGGGGAGCGAACAGGAUUAGAUACCCCGGUAGUCCCUGUCUCUUAUAC